GCGGGAAUAACUCAGGGGUAGAGUGCAACCUUGCCAAGGUUGAAGUCGCGGGUUCAAAUCCCGUUUCCCGCUCCA
rnacentral:tRNA from 1 species